rnacentral:rRNA from 1 species
UUUUUGAAAAUAAUUUAAAGUCUAAUCUGCCCACUGAUAAAAAUAUUAAAGGGCUGCAGUAUUUUAACUGUACAAAGGUAGCAUAAUCAUUUGUCUCUUAAUUGGUGACUUGUAUGAAAGAUUGGAUGAAAUAUAAACUGUCUCAUUAUAAUUAAGUAAAAUUUAAUUUUUUAGUAAAAAAGCUAAAAUAAUUUUAAAAGACGAGAAGACCCUAUAGAGUUUUAUAAUUUUGUUAAGUUUAUUAAAAUAUAAAUUUUUAAAAUAAAAUUAAUUUAAUUAUUUUGUUGGGGUGACAAAAAAAUUAAAUUAACUUUUUUUUAAAAAAAUUACAUUAAUAAAUGAAUAAAUGAUCCAUUAUUAAUGAUUAUAAGAAAAAUUACCUUAGGGAUAACAGCGUAAUUUUUUUUUUUAGGUCAAAUAAGAAAAAAAGUUUGCGACCUCGAUGUUGGAUUAAGAUAAAAUUAAAAUGCAAAAGUUUUAAAUUUUU